ACGGAAGGCAGCAGUGGGGAAUAUUGCACAAUGGGCGAAAGCCUGAUGCAGCGACGCCGCGUGAGUGAAGAAGUAUCUCGGUAUGUAAAGCUCUAUCAGCAGGGAAGAAAAUGACAGUACCUGACUAAGAAGCCCCGGCUAACUACGUGCCAGCAGCCGCGGUAAUACGUAGGGGGCAAGCGUUAUCCGGAUUUACUGGGUGUAAAGGGAGCGUAGACGGUUUGGCAAGUCUGAAGUGAAAUGCGGGGGCUCAACUCCUGAACUGCUUUGGAAACUGUCGAACUAGAGUGCAGGAGAGGUAAGUGGAAUUCCUAGUGUAGCGGUGAAAUGCGUAGAUAUUAGGAGGAACACCAGUGGCGAAGGCGGCUUACUGGACUGUAACUGACGUUGAGGCUCGAAAGCGUGGGGAGCAAACAGGAUUAGAUACCCUGGUA
rnacentral:rRNA from 1 species